CCAUCGGCAGCACCGGCAACACGAGGCACCAGGGAACCGGGGAACCACCAACCUUGGGGUGAGUCGGACGCCUUCGCGAGAAGGGGCCCGUAGGAGACCUUCCUGCUCCGAACCCGUCAGCUAACCCGGUAGGCGAGAAGGAAGGAAAGG
rnacentral:sRNA from 1 species